rnacentral:rRNA from 1 species
GUGGGGAAUUUUGGACAAUGGGCGCAAGCCUGAUCCAGCAAUGCCGCGUGCAGGAAGAAGGCCUUCGGGUUGUAAACUGCUUUUGUACGGAACGAAAAGGCUCUGGCUAAUACCUGGAGCUCAUGACGGUACCGUAAGAAUAAGCACCGGCUAACUACGUGCCAGCAGCCGCGGUAAUACGUAGGGUGCGAGCGUUAAUCGGAAUUACUGGGCGUAAAGCGUGCGCAGGCGGUGCUGUAAGACAGGCGUGAAAUCCCCGGGCUCAACCUGGGAAUUGCGCUUGUGACUGCAGCGCUGGAGUGCGGCAGAGGGGGAUGGAAUUCCGCGUGUAGCAGUGAAAUGCGUAGAUAUGCGGAGGAACACCGAUGGCGAAGGCAAUCCCCUGGGCCUGCACUGACGCUCAUGCACGAAAGCGUGGGGAGCAAACAGGAUUAGAAACCCUGGUAGUCC